UUUUCACUGCAGCACUAGCUGUAGUUUCUUCAGUUUUUCAUGCUACAGCCAGUACAGGCAGCCUGUAGACGAGUUGUUGUUGGCAGCGAGGUGGUGUUACAGUUAGUUUAGCCGUCUGCUGCUUCGUGUCAAAGUUUGUUUGGGUGCAGGCUGUGUAAGAAUCUGUGUGUUGGCCAAAGGGUUUCAUUGAAGUUUCCUACUGGCUCGGAGGCUCCAUUCGACUGCUCUAUACCGUCACGACGUCGAAAACUGCUACAGCCUAUCCGCCUACGACGUUCAAAGUCGUGUCCAGGAUUCAAGCAAACCGUGACUCCUGGCUGCAGCCUGCAGGAGCGCUCGUCGCUGGACGUUCAUCGUCCCCGUUUGUCAUGGUGUUCCAGUGAUUCUGGAUGGUGACCGACGUCCGUGACUGUUUCUUUUGUCGCAGUCAUGGCUACAGCAGAGAACCACGCGGUCAACACAUGGCCAUGGUCAAGCCAGAUGUUCCGCAAGUGGAUCCCACGCCUCCAAACAGCGCUCAGCUGCGAUGCAAUUCGUGUUGAAUGCUGUGCCAAGCGGUUGAUCUCCGAUGCGCAGAAGAAGGAAUUGAUGGCGAUAAAAGAUUCGGCCAAACACAAUGACCGACUGCUAGAUAUGCUGAGCAGGGGUACAGCUGAGACUUUCCACACCUUCUGUAGUAUUGUGCGUAGCACCGAACCUGAAGCAAACUUUUCAAAGUUCCUAGAUGACAUGCAGUCAGUGGAUACCUUUGUUGGAGGUAAGUAGAAUUGUUAUCAGUCAGGUGACUGAGAGACACU